rnacentral:rRNA from 1 species
UACGAAGGUGGCAAGCGUUGUACGGAUUUACUGGGCGUACAGGGAGCGUAGGCGGUUGGAUAAGCCCUCCGUGAAAUCUCCAGGCUUAACCUGGAAAGUGCAGAGGGGACUGUUCAGCUAGAGGAUGGGAGAGGAGCGCGGAAUUCCCGGUGUAGCGGUGAAAUGCGUAGAGAUCGGGAGGAAGGCCGGUGGCGAAGGCGGCGCUCUGGAACAUUUCUGACGCUGAGGCUCGAAAGCGUGGGGAGCAAACAGG